UACGUAGGGUGCAAGCGUUUAUCCGGAAUUAUUGGGCGUAAAGAGCUCGUAGGCGGUCUGUGCGUCUGCUGUGAAACUGGGGGCUCAACCCCCAGCCUGCAGUGGGUACGGGCAGACUAGAGUGCGGUAGGGGAGAUUGGAAUUCCUGGUGUAGCGGUGGAAUGGCGCAGAUAUCAGGAGGAACAGCCGAUGGCGAAGGCAGAUCUCUGGGCCGUGAACUGACGCUGAGGAGCGAAAGACAUGGGGAGCGAACAGG
rnacentral:rRNA from 1 species